rnacentral:lncRNA from 1 species
GCUUUUAGUACUUAAGGCUCAUUAAAUAAUGUAUGUGUAUUCCCUUGUACUGUCAGAUUCAUUCUCCUUGAUUCUUAGGCCUAAAUAAGUACGGACACUGAGUCUUUUGAAUUACCACUCGUGCCUCUUCCUUUGCCUCUGUUCGUAUCUGUUGCAACUCGUACUUUUUUGUCAAUCAUAACUCUUUCAUCAGUCUACGUAUCAUGACACGCCAUCUUUGCAUCACUU